GUUAGUAGGGCUGAGUGGAUACCUUGUUGGCAUUGAGCCUAGGUUAGUAGGGCUGAGUGGAUACCUUGUUGGCAUUGAGCCUAGGUUAGUAGGGCUGAGUGGACACCUUGUUGGCAUUGAGCCUAGGUUAGUAGGGCUGAGUGGACACCUUGUUGGCAUUGAGCCUAGGGCUGAGGACUGAGUGUGUGGGUUCUGCCACCAAUUGAGUAUAUUUUGGUUAGUGUAAUUUUUAUUUCAACUAAUGUUAACAUUCUGUCAACACAACUUGAUAAAAACAUGUUUUCUCGUCUAAAGAUGUAAAACAAAUAAAUGACUAUAGUAAGCCAUUUAGGAAGCAUAUAUACACACACUGUUCCACUCAUCUGCUGCUACUCUGUACUUUAUUUUAUUAUUGUCUGUCCUGAUGCCUAGUCACUUUAUCCUGCACAUUUAUCUCCUUGAUCUGGUACUGGUACUCCCUGUAUACAGCUGCACAUUGAUCUGGUACUCCCUGUAUAUAGCUCCACAUUGAUCUGGUACUCCCUGUAUAUAGCUCCACAUUGAUCUGGUACUCCCUGUAUACAGCUGCACAUUGAUCUGGUACUCCCUGUAUAUAGCUCCACAUUGAUCUGGUACUCCCUGUAUAUAGCUCCACAUUGAUCUGGUACUCCCUGUAUAUUGCUCCACAUUGAUCUGGUACUCCCUGUAUAUAGCUGCACAUUGAUCUGGUACUCCCUGUAUAUUGCUGCAUAUUGAUCUGGUACUCCCUGUAUAUAGCUGCAUAUUGAUCUGGUACUCCCUGUAUAUAGCUGCACAUUGAUCUGGUACUCCCUGUAUAUAGCUGCAUAUUGAUCUGGUACUCCCUGUAUAUAGCUGCAUAUUGAUCUGGUACUCCCUGUAUAUAGCUGCACAUUGAUCUGGUACUGGUACUCCCUGUAUAUAGCUGCACAUUGAUCUGGUACUCCCUGUAUAUUGCUGCACAUUGAUCUGGUACUCCCUGUAUAUUGCUGCACAUUGAUCUGGUACUCCCUGUAUAUAGCUGCAUAUUGAUCUGGUACUCCCUGUAUAUAGCUGCACAUUGAUCUGGUACUGGUACUCCCUGUAUAUUGCUGCACAUUGAUCUGGUACUCCCUGUAUAUAGCUGCACAUUGAUCUGGUACUCCCUGUAUAUAGCUGCACAUUGAUCUGGUACUCCCUGUAUAUAGCUGCACAUUGAUCUGGUACUCCCUGUAUAUAGCUGCACAUUGAUCUGGUACUCCCUGUAUAUAGCUGCACAUUGAUCUGGUACUCCCUGUAUAUUGCUUCAUUAUUGUGUAUUCUAUUCCUCUUGUUACAAUCCCCAUAUUUGUUUUUAACUUUGCAUUGUUGGGAAGGGCUGUAAGCAAGCAUUUCACGGUUAAGUUUAACACCUGUUGUAUUCGGCGCAUGUGACAAAUAAAAUGUGUUUUGAAG
rnacentral:lncRNA from 1 species